UGGGGUGUGGAGAGGAGGUGUUUGGGGAGAGGAUGGGAGAAGGUGGUACCUGUGGUGUAGGGUAACUUAUUGGGGUGUGGAGAGGAGGUGUUUGGUGGUAAGAUGGGAGAAGGUGGUACCUGUGGUGUAGUGUAACUUAUUGGGGCUUGGAGAGGAGGUGUUUGGUGGUAGGAUGGGAGAAGGUGGUACCUGUGGUGUAGGGUAACUUAUUGGGGCGUGGAGAGGAGGUGUUUGGUGGUAGGAUGGGAGAAGGUGGUACCUGUGGUGUAGGGUAACUUAUUGGGGCGUGGAGAGGAGGUGUUUGGUGGUAGGAUGGGAGAAGGUGGUACCUGUGGUGUAGGGUAACUUAUUGGGGUGUGGACAGGAGGUGUUUGGUGGUAGGAUGGGAGAAGGUGGUACCUGUGGUGUAGGGUAACUUAUUGGGGCGGGAGUGGAGGUGUUUGGGGAGAGGAUGGAAGGGGGUGGUAACCAUGGUGAAAUGUAACUUAUUGGGGCGUGGAGAGGAGGUGUUUGGUGGUAGGAUGGGAGAAGGUGGUACCUUUGGUGUAGGGUAACUUAUUGGGGCAUGGAGAGGAGGUGUUUGGUGGUAGGAUGGGAGAAGGUGGUACCUGUGGUGUAGGGUAACUUAUUGGGGCUUGGAGAGGAGGUGUUUGGUGGUAGGAUGGGAGAAGGUGGUACCUGUGGUGUAGGGUAACUUAUUGGGGCUUGGAGAGGAGGUGUUUGGUGAUAGGAUGGAAGGGGGUGGUAACCAUGGUGAAGUGUAACUUAUUGGGGUGUGGAGAGGAGGUGUUUGGUGGUAGGAUGGGAGAAGGUGGUACCUGUGGUGUAGGGUAACUUAUUGGGGUGUAGAGAGGAGGUGUUUGGUGAUAGGAUGGGAGAAGGUGGUACCUGUGGUGUAGGGUAACUUAUUGGGGCGUGGAGAGGAGGUGUUUGGUGGUAGGAUGGGAGAAGGUGGUACCUGUGGUGUAGGGUAACUUAUUGGGGCGUGGAGAGGAGGUGUUUGGUGGUAGGAUGGGAGAAGGUGGUACCUGUGGUGUAGGGUAACUUAUUGGGGCGUGGAGAGGAGGUGUUUGGUGGUAGGAUGGGAGAAGGUGGUACCUGUGGUGUAGGGUAACUUAUUGGGGCGUGGAGAGGAGGUGUUUGGUGGUAGGAUGGAGAAGGUGGUACCUGUGGUGUAGGGUAACUUAUUGGGGCGUGGAGAGGAGGUGUUUGGUGGUAGGAUGG